rnacentral:rRNA from 1 species
UACGAAGGGGGCUAGCGUUGCUCGGAAUUACUGGGCGUAAAGGGCGCGUAGGCGGACAGUUAAGUUGGGGGUGAAAGCCCGGGGCUCAACCUCGGAAUUGCCUUCAAUACUGGCUGUCUUGAGUAUGAGAGAGGUGUGUGGAACUCCGAGUGUAGAGGUGAAAUUCGUAGAUAUUACGGAAGAACACCAGUGGCGAAGGCGACACACUGGCUCAUUACUGACGCUGAGGCGCGAAAGCGUGGGGAGCAAACAGG